UUGAACGCUGGCGGCAUGCCUUACCCAUGCCAGUCGAACGGUAACAGGUCUUCGGAUGCUGACGAGUGGCGAACGGGUGAGUAAUACAUCGGAACGUGCCCAGACGUGGGGGAUAACGAGGCGAAAGCUUUGCUAAUACCGCAUACGAUCUAAGGAUGAAAGCAGGGGACCGCAAGGCCUUGUGCGUUUGGAGCGGCCGAUGGCAGAUUAGGUAGUUGGUGGGAUAAAAGCUUACCAAGCCGACGAUCUGUAGCUGGUCUGAGAGGACGACCAGCCACACUGGGACUGAGACACGGCCCAGACUCCUACGGGAGGCAGCAGUGGGGAAUUUUGGAUAAUGGGCGAAAGCCUGAUCCAGCAAUGCCGCGUGCAGGAUGAAGGCCUUCGGGUUGUAAACUGCUUUUGUACGGAACGAAAAGGCUCUGGCUAAUACCUGGGGCACAUGACGGUACCGUAAGAAUAAGCACCGGCUAACUACGUG
rnacentral:rRNA from 1 species